UAUACGACCGUACCGCAAACCGACACUGGUGCGCGAGAUGAGUAUUCUAAGGCGCUUGAGAGAACUCAGGAGAAGGAACUCGGCAAAUUGACACCGUAACUUCGGAAGAAGGUGUGCCCUAUUAGUGUGUAGUGAACAACGAAGCAUGAAUGGGUUGCAAAAAAUCGGUGGCUGCGACUGUUUAUUAAAAACACAGCACUCUGCAAACACGAAAGUGGACGUAUAGGGUGUGACGCCUGCCCGGUGCUGGAAGAUUAAAUGAUGGGGUGCAAGCUCUUGAUUGAAGUCCCAGUAAACGGCGGCCGUAACCAUAACGGUCCUAAGGUAGCGAAAUUCCUUGUCGGGUAAGUUCCGACCUGCACGAAUGGCGUAACGAUGGCCACACUGUCUCCUCCUGAGACUCAGCGAAGUUGAAAUGUUUGUGAUGAUGCAAUCUCCCCGCGGAAAGACGGAAAGACCCCAUGAACCUUUACUGUAGCUUUGUAUUGGACUUUGAACAGAUCUGUGUAGGAUAGGUGGGAGGCUUUGAAGCAGGGUCGCUAGAUCUUGUGGAGCCAACGUUGAAAUACCACCCUGGUGUGUUUGAGGUUCUAACCUAGGUCCAUUAUCUGGAUCGGGGACAGUGCAUGGUAGGCAGUUUGACUGGGGCGGUCUCCUCCCAAAGCGUAACGGAGGAGUUCGAAGGUACGCUAGUUACGGUCGGACAUCGUGACGAUAGUGCAAUGGCAUAAGCGUGCUUAACUGCGAGACUGACAAGUCGAGCAGAUGCGAAAGCAGGACAUAGUGAUCCGGUGGUUCUGUAUGGAAGGGCCAUCGCUCAACGGAUAAAAGGUACUCUGGGGAUAACAGGCUGAUACCGCCCAAGAGUUCAUAUCGACGGCGGUGUUUGGCACCUCGAUGUCGGCUCAUCUCAUCCUGGGGCUGUAGCCGGUCCCAAGGGUAUGGCUGUUCGCCAUUUAAAGAGGUACGUGAGCUGGGUUUAAAACGUCGUGAGACAGUUUGGUUCCUAUCUUCCGUGGGCGCUGCAGAUUUGAGGAAGCCUGCUCCUAGUACGAGGGGACCGGAGUGGACACACCUCUGGUGUAUCGGUUGUCACGCCAGUGGCAUUGCCGAGUAGCUAAGUGUGGAAGAGAUAACCGCUGAAAGCAUCUAAGCGGGAAACUCGUUUCAAGAUGAGAUCUGCCGGGGCCUUGAGCCCCCUAAAGAGUCGUUCAAGACCAGGACGUUGAUAGGCCAGGUGUGGAAGCG
rnacentral:rRNA from 1 species